CCUACGGGUGGCAGCAGUGGGGAAUAUUGGACAAUGGGCGAAAGCCUGAUCCAGCCAUGCCGCGUGUGUGAAGAAGGCCUUCGGGUUGUAAAGCACUUUCAGUGGGGAAGAAAGCCUUGGGGCUAAUACCCUCGAGGAAGGACAUCACCCACAGAAGAAGCACCGGCUAACUCCGUGCCAGCAGCCGCGGUAAUACGGAGGGUGCGAGCGUUAAUCGGAAUUACUGGGCGUAAAGCGCGCGUAGGCGGUCUGAUAAGUCGGUUGUGAAAGCCCCGGGCUCAACCUGGGAACGGCAUCCGGAACUGUCAGGCUAGAGUGCAGGAGAGGAAGGUAGAAUUCCCGGUGUAGCGGUGAAAUGCGUAGAGAUCGGGAGGAAUACCAGUGGCGAAGGCGGCCUUCUGGACUGACACUGACGCUGAGGUGCGAAAGCGUGGGUAGCAAACAGGAUUAGAUACCCGUGUAGUC
rnacentral:rRNA from 1 species